UUGAUUAUUCUGGUUAGUCACAUUGUACUGCUAUUAUUUUGAACAAUACUGUACAUUGUUGUUUAUCAGUGUACGUUCACGGUGCAUUGGGUGCCCACCGUUACGUUCAUCAAUCAUAUCUGUACACAUUCACGGCGCGUUCUGUGCACUGAUUUAUCUAUACACAUUCAUGGUGCACUGAAGGGUUCACCCGUGUGCACACAAUUUAUUAUCAGAACACAUGACGGCACGCUCGAGGAUCUUGCCGGCCUGUGCAUUAUAACACUCUGAUUGAUUUAUCUGAUUUAUUUAUUUAUUUAUUAUCGCUUGGAAAGCUCACCAAUCUGUGCACUAUAAUACUACCUAUAUGCAUCCCGAUGCGCUCGAGGGCGCACCUGGGUUCACACUAUUGUGGUAUCUGUAUAAUCCCAUGCUACGAACCGUUCUGCCGCAUAUUAUAGUCAGAUCGGCCGUUCCUGAGCUUUGCAGUUCACUCACUAUGUAUGCCUGUUGCUAACAGUGGUUAUUAGAUGGAUCGUUGAAGCCAUCGCACUGGCUCACGCCCCUCUAUAUGAGCUAUGUCCUAUAUGUUAGAGCCCACUCUUUGCGAGUUUGGCUUCAUCAUGGACUUGGUCUACAGGGUAUCUAUAUUUGAUAUCUGCUACGCGGCCGGCUGGUCUUCGCCGUCUACGUUUGUCAGAUUGUACAGCUUGUACCCUACGAGCGCAGGUUCUCUCGGCUCAAUUAUGCACGUUCAUGCGUUUUAUGUGUACACCACGGUGCGCUCAGCGAGCUCACCAACGUGACUUUAAAUUUACUUAUCUCGCACACCUGCGGCGCGCUCUGUGAUCUCGCCGUCUUGUGCUAUGUUAUGUGCUCCCAGUGCAUUUUAAACCCCACCGUAUGCGCGUUAACCUUUUAUAUGGUGCUUACACUUUUGCUUUAAAGCUGUGAAUAUGCCGGAUAUAGGAGCCACACGCAGUGUCUCUCCGGUAAGGCACUUUAUUAGUCCGUUGUGUAUGCACGGCGUGAUGGGAUUACGUUCCCCCAUAGCGUCAGCAACUGACGCAAUGCGAAGUGAACCGUAUUGAAAGGGAACGCUUAGGUUACUCACGUAACCCCGGAUCCCUGAAAUAACGGGAACGAAGCAUUGCGUCUCUUGCCAUGCUACAAACGUCUACGCAGCGAGUGUUAUACAAUGUGCAUUGUUUGAAAGUUGCUUUAACACUUAGGGGUCGAUGGCGGCAUGGGCAACCUAUUCUUUCUUUAAUCACUGGACAGAGAGCCUUAAUUAUCUGCUGAUUUUAGACAUGCAUAUAUGAUUUAUACAUCAUUCAAAAAUGUAAAGUGUCUUGUUUUAAAACAACAAUGUUGUGCUUUUCACAAAAUUAAGAAAAUAAACAUGAGGCGCAUUCUGUUCUCUCUCCCUAAGUGAAAUCAUUUGCGUCACAAACUUAACUAUAACUUAGCGAAUACUUGUCAGACAAACAAUAGAUAUAUGUCUACAGGGCUCUGAAGUUUUACCAAAAGUUUGGAGUGAGAUUAUCUAUUAGGGGAAGGGGUAUUUGCAGCAGCGUCUCCCUCGGCCCCACUCAAUUCUCAAGUUUUUGCUAACAGUUUAAUUGUACCAAUUGUUUUGUAAACAAACUAUUAAUGAGAAAAGGGGAAUCCAAGGCACUCUUCAUAUAUCAAAAAGUAAAAAGCCUUUAUUUAAAUAUGGCUAUAAUAUUAAAAACAGGGCAGUAAACUAUUAAUGAGCCCUAUUCACUUCCGUAGUAUUAUUUUUCCUACUAUAGAAGUGAAUGAGGCUCAUUAAAGGUUUGGUUACAAACAUUCCUCAAAAUAUCUUCCUUCGUGUUCUUCAGAACAAAUACAUUUAUACAGGUUUGUAACAACAUAAGAGUGAGCAAAUGAUAACAGAAUUUUUAAUGAAGGUAAGUCCAUAGGGGGUUGGCCCAUGAAAAACCCUAAUGGUGGCUCAUAUGGGCUAUCCCCUAUGGGGCAGUCAAACUGCUAUCGGCCCGACGUGGCAACCUGCAUGGGGCUUACCUAGGGUUGGUGUGGGUUUGCCCUUCCCACACUGACAUGUGUGACGUGCCCACGCAUGUUUGUUGGGUAAGUGCAAAAUGAUGUUUUAAAACCUAUUGGAUUCAAGAGGUUUCAUGGCUUGGGUAUGAUCAUUAAACAGAAAAAAUGUUUCUGACAUUUGUUUUUAAACGGGCAGACAAAUGGUGGAGGAAAUGGAUUUUGUUACAGGAACAAAAAUAAAUGUUUAGAUUUUUAUUUCAAUUUACAGUUCAAAUAAUUGUUCAAUUAUUAUGUUUUCUGCUGUCAUUAAAAGACAAAUUUCACCAAGAUUCUUGAUGCAAUUCAACACAGUCUGUAUGAUUGCAUGUAAAGAGCUGUUUUACUCUUAGAUAUUCCCUCUCAGAUAACUAUUACAAUAGUUUUUUUAUUUACAUUAAAACCAUAGUAACCACAUAUUUUUAGUUGAACAGAACCCAUGGUCAUUCAAAUGGUAGUAAACAAAAACAUGGAUACUUCAGUUUUACUACUAGGGUUAAUUUCCUAGGCUUACUUCACUUCUUUUCUGUGAAUACUUGCCAAGUAGAUGUUGACUACUCUUCUAUCUUCUAUUAUAUUAAAAACAAUCUUUCUCAGGUAUUGUUUUUGAAUUUUAAAAAACGUAGCACUUCUUCUAUUACUGCCUUCACACGACAAAUUGCUUUAUUGUUUCCGAAUCUUUGUAAGUGUUUUUGGAUAGAAGCGUCUGCUAAAUGACUAAAUGUAAAACUAUGGUUAAAUUCCUGGGGAAAGAAGACAAUUCUAAUCCUAAUGUGGCCCUUAGAAUAAUAAAUUAUUAAUUAACUUAACUCUUCUGAACGUUGCACUUAUUAUACACGAAGACUGUUUAGUUUUUUUUUUACAAUAAUAAUAGUUAAUGUAAGUAAUUGUUAAACUUCAGAUGAGUCUUCUUGUGCAAGUCAGUUUUAUUCCAUUCCGUAUUAAUUCUAAGUCUUUAUUGUUGUACAGUGUGACAGCUAAGAUCAAACAAUAGGACAUGUUUGAUUAUCAGACAAAAUGGCAAAUAGUGUCAGGGGAUGGAUAAUAUCUGUGUUAUGAUUGGUCAGGUCGCCUGUCAAUCAAAUUCCCACGAAGGGUCAAUUGUGAAAAGUAUUAUAUAAAUAAUAUUUUAAUAGAAUUGAAUAAAGUUUUAAACCUAGUUAUUAUAAAUAUUUGCUUAAGUUGUAUUGAAAGCAAUGUUAGUGACAAUAAUUUGUUAUUUUUGUUAAUUUGGUAUGGUUGUAAUCAUAUAUACAGUAUGAAAAGCUGUUGUAUGUUCUUUUAUCAUUCACAGUCACUUACAUGCAUGUAUGUGUGUAAUUUGCUUUAUUUUUUGUCAGAUUGCAUUUCUGGGUCUGACAACCGCAGAGAGAACAAACCUGUUGCACAGACAGAGGAAACUCCCUCAGGCCUCGCUCAGACAAAAUCCAUUCAAUCUUGGAGUAAUUAGAAACCUGGUGAACUUCUUCCAGUGUCGAUGCUGUGGUCUUUGUAAGCCAGUGGUGCUGGACUGGACUCAGCAGUAUCCAAUGGGUCUCAGCAGAGAGCAUCCCAUGUUCAGUGGUCCAGACGCUGUCUAACGCCCAUUGACAAGUGACUCACUCAGGGAGAGCAGUGUCUCCUCUCGGACAAUAGAACUUCCAUGACAUGGCUACAUUAUGCUAUAAUAAAGGUUGUUAAUUUGUAUGUGUAACGGAAAAUUUUAAAGUUAAAUAUUUUGUAAGGUACUUAAACGGGUAACCUCUUACUGAAAAUAAUGUCUUUUUUUAAGGUGUUUUCUAAAUCAGAGCAGUUUCGUUUUCCUACAAAUCUUCACCAGAAAUUGCUAUCAAAUGAAAUGCUGAGGUACAAAAUCUUGUUGACGAUAUACCAUCUGUGGAAAAAAAUACAUUUCUUCUUUUUUUUGAGAAAUGUACAUAUAGAUCAUAGGCGGAGCUCUAAAACAUUACUUUAUAAGAUAUUUUGUAAAAAAAAAAAAAUCAUUAAUCAUAUCAUAAUAUUUGUAUUUAUCAAAACUUUGCACUUGUUAAAGUUACUUUUUAUGCUGCCUUCCAAUCACGAUGGAGCAGAGGUAUCUAGAGCGCUCUUCUUUUAAACAAUGCCUGGCAUGUGCAGCUGCCUUAAAACCUUUGGUGGAGUCCUUGAUUUUACCCCAAGAUUGUAUAAAUUAAUCACCAAUGUACUGUUCACUGCAUAUUAAUUUUCCUUCUUGUUUUUUACUUGUAUUAAUUAGCCAAUAAAUUGUUGCGUUUAAGAAGUUAAUAAAAUGCUCUAAAAUUAA